GUCUUUUGCAAACAAGUUCAUGAACCAAGAAAACCACCUUAUAACUCCACCAACUCUCCUUAUUCAUUGUUUUAAAUGCUUUUAUAAAUCUUUACUGUCACUUGAUAAUUAUUUACAGUAACAUGGAACAAAAGUGAAGCAGAUAUUUGAAAUCUACAGAUGACUCUACCUCCAAUUCAGGUGAUCCUUUCUAACUCAUCUUUCCCCAGAACUAUGAACUGGCAGUGAAAUCACUUUGUUUCAGUAUCAUCUACUCCUUCUCUUGUGGGGAUCAGUGCAGGUGGAAGGCAGGAGAUUGAACAGGUUUUUAUUUUUCUUUUCUUCCUUUUUUUUAAAAUCCCUUAUUAAAAUUUUCUUUGUCGAUUUCUUCUUACCAUCUUCAGCUGAGUUCUUUGGCGGCUGACCAUGGUUUUGCACAGUGGUAACACAAAGGCCAAUUCUGUUUCUUUUUUUUAGGCUGCCGGGAAUAAUCUCAUGUUUCUGGGCAACUUUCAUAUUUUCAAAUACAUUAUUUCCAAAACUCUUAUUAUUAUAUCUACUUUAAGAAAUUCCACUCUUGGCCAUGAGAGUGAUCUGUCAGCAGACUGGUCAGGGUACCUUUUCACCACUACAGUUUCACCCUGGAGUAAUGGAAUAAAGAAGACAGUGUUUGGGCACUGUGGUAGGAAAGGAAAAUGGGAGUUUUAUUAUCCCCCACCUAUAACUAAAACUCGUUAAACAAUUAUGUUUUAUAUUAGAAUGUUAACUCUGUAAAGAACAUGGUAUGUGUUGCACAGAAAGGUAGAGUUUUAGGUCAUUUUCUUCUUUUCUGACAAAAAGUUAGUCUUUCCUCAGUCCUGCAGGUGAUGAGAACUCUGUAUGGGACACCCAUAUCAACAGCUGGUAGACGACGCAGGACUCCGGAGUAGAUGUGGCAUUCUGCCUUCAUAUUAUUCUCAAUCAGACUGGUGUUUGAGUAACUCACAAAGAAGUUCAGAAGCCACUGCGCCAGCCACGGAGGUACACGGCUCAACUCUCCUUCCAGACAGAAGCUGCUGGGAGGAGCUCCAGCUACCACAGCAGUCAUUCUGAGGCUACGCCUUCCCCAGGCUGCUUCUAGCCAAUAACUCUGCACAGCAGGGAGACUGGAGGUGGGACAUUUCUGCCAACAUGGGACCCAUCGAAUGGCUCUCCUCUCUGGCUUGGCUAAAACAUUCUCAGAACUGUACUGUCAUCUGAGGCUCUUUGUACCCAUUCCUCCUUCCCUCUUCCUCUUUUUUUCCCAGGUGUCAGACUUACAUCAUGGCCUGGGGAUCUCACAGCCUUCACCUGCUUCCUCUCCUCUCUAUGUUUCACAGACAUUUCCCCAAUAAAUCUCAUAAAUCUCUUGUAUUUCUAAUUUUGUCUUGGAUUUGCUUCCUGGAUUACCCGGCCUGCUGCAGCUGCCAUUGUGCUAUUUUCUCUCCUUCUCCCCCGCCUCAAUUUUAUAAUGCAUAGUUUUAUAAAAAGAAAUAGCCUAUGCU
rnacentral:lncRNA from 1 species